UUCGUGCCUCGUGCCCGUGUCCGUGCCCGCUCAGACCGUGCCGUGUCGUGCCGUGCCCAACUUUUACCGUGCCCAAAGCGUGCUCGUGCCGGGUUUUUUCGUGCCGUGCCCGUGCCGUGCCGUGCCGUGCCGGCAAGACCCGCUUGACACCUCUAAACAUUCGUGAGAGCACAGUUUUCUGGAGGUUCCCUGUGUUGAGUUAGGGAGAAGCUUUUCGUCCAAGAAGAGUUGAAGCAAACCCAAAAGAGCAGCAGAACAAUCCCAGCCAUGGAGGAACCUAUAAAUCAAUAAAUCAAACAAUUGAAAUUACCAAUUCCCAAACAAUACCAAACUGCAAAUAACAAGAAACAUUCUAUUAUUUACCCAGAUGUUGUGUGAAGUGGCCCCAUGUCAAUCGCCCCACUUUGGUAUUCUACAAGAUGAACCCUAGAAUGGAUUCCAUCCAUCAGAGGACCCAAAACGAAACCCGAACCGAAUAGCAAGAGAGAGAUCUGCUUUGCUUUCUCAGACUGCAGAAUGGAGCGAAUUUUGAAACAACAGAGGGUUUGGGAUUGGGGAAACAAAUGGAGAGGAACCCAGAUCUAUUAAAGUAACCCUGAACCAUAAAAUUGAGAUAAUUUAUAUAAAUAAAUGUUAAAAUGAAAAAUGAGACAGCAUAAUCAAUCAAGUUAGCAUUUUGGAUCACGUGGUCGCUAAGCAAGUAGAGUACAUGCAUCUUUACAAAACAGGUAUGAG
rnacentral:lncRNA from 1 species